rnacentral:rRNA from 1 species
ACCCUUUAAUGUUUGAUGUUCUAACGUGGACCCGUGAUCCGGGUUGCGGACAGUGUCUGGUGGGUAGUUUGACUGGGGCGGUCUCCUCCUAAAGAGUAACGGAGGAGCACGAAGGUUGGCUAAUCCUGGUCGGACAUCAGGAGGUUAGUGCAAUGGCAUAAGCCAGCUUGACUGCGAGCGUGACGGCGCGAGCAGGUGCGAAAGCAGGUCAUAGUGAUCCGGUGGUUCUGAAUGGAAGGGCCAUCGCUCAACGGAUAAAAGGUACUCCGGGGAUAACAGGCUGAUACCGCCCAAGAGUUCAUAUCGACGGCGGUGUUUGGCACCUCGAUGUCGGCUCAUCACAUCCUGGGGCUGAAGUAGGUCCCAAGGGUAUGGCUGUUCGCCAUUUAAAGUGGUACGCGAGCUGGGUUUAGAACGUCGUGAGACAGUUCGGUCCCUAUCUGCCGUGGGCGCUGGAGAACUGAGGGGGGCUGCUCCUAGUACGAGAGGACCGGAGUGGACGCAUCACUGGUGUUCGGGUUGUCAUGCCAAUGGCACUGCCCGGUAGCUAAAUGCGGAAGAGAUAAGUGCUGAAAGCAUCUAAGCACGAAACUUGCCCCGAGAUGAGUUCUCCCUGAGACUUAAAGUCUCCUGAAGGAACGUUGAAGACGACGACGUUGAUAG